rnacentral:rRNA from 1 species
UACGUAGGUGGCGAGCGUUGUCCGGAUUUACUGGGCGUAAAGGGAGCGUAGGCGGACUUUUAAGUGAGAUGUGAGAUACUCGGGCUCAACUUGAGUGCUGCAUUUCAAACUGGAAGUCUAGAGUGCAGGAGAGGAGAAUGGAAUUCCUAGUGUAGCGGUGAAAUGCGUAGAGAUUAGGAAGAACACCAGUGGCGAAAGCGGCUCUCUGGCCUGUAACUGACACUGAGGCUCGAAAGCGUGGGGAGCAAACAGG